rnacentral:rRNA from 1 species
UACGAAAGGAGCAGGUGUUAUUCAGAUUAACUGGGCGUAAAGGGUACGUAGGUAGUUUGUAAUAUGUAUUAUAAAAUCGUAAAGCUUAACUUUACAACGUAAUAUACACAGCAAAACUUGAGUUAGGUAAGGGGUAGCAGAAUUUCUAAUGUAAAGGUGAAAUUUGAUAAAAUUAGAGAGAAUACCAAUGGCGUAGGCAGCUACCUAGUCCUUAACUGACACUGAGGUACGAAAGUACGGGUAGCAAAUAGG